CUCAGCCUCCUGAGUAGCUGGGAUUACAGACACGUGCCACCAUUCCUGGCUAAUUUUUGUAUUUUUAGUAGAGACAGGGUUUCACCAUGUUGGCCAGGCUGGUCUCAAACUCCUGACCUCAGGUGAUCCGCCUGCCUCAGCCUCCCAAAGUGCUGGGAUUACAGCUUUCAGCCACCACGCCCGGCCUAAAAAAGCUUCUCUUAUGAUCUUAAGAUGGUCAUCAAAUAAAAGGAGUCCCUGGAGAAACUAUUACCUGGUCCCCAGAGGAGUUAACUUGACUGCCCAAGUUCACCAGUCGGCAGCCUAGCGUGUCACCUUGGGUGAGAGGCAGCAGUGAUGGCAACAGCCAUAGCUUGAGUCAAGGCACCGAGACAGAGAGUGUGAGGCAUUUUGGAGAGCGGAGACAGUGAGAAGCUCAGUGCACUGGGGAGGAGAGGUCGCUGUGGGGAGUGAGAACCUGGAUGACUUGUAGUCAAGACCCUCCACUGGUAACAAGCAUAUGGAUAAAGGAGAAGAUUGGGAAGACUUGGGCUGGAGGGCUGCAGACCACUCCCAGGGUGAGAACUCUUGCUGAUGUUUCAACAGAUCUCAGCCAAUCCUCCCCAGAGCAAGAAGCAUGGCAGUGGAUGUCAGUUCAGACACCUCGAAUCACAGAUAGUUGGAGAUGAAAAGGACCUUAGAAACCGUAAGAAACACCGUGGGCAAGGAGAGUGGGGAGCUCUGGAGCCAUAAACCUGGCUUCAGGUCCCAGUUCUGCCACUCAUCAGCUGGGUGGCCAAGGACAGCAUUUUUCAGAGAACAGGAGGGAGCUGCUUCCUUAAGUAGUGCCUGGGAUCACAUUCAGACUGGAGAUGUUACCAGAAGCAAAUCCACCUCAGUGGGGAUUCUGGUUGACCCAGGAGACCCUCUGCUCCUGAGGGAACUACCGAGGGGCUUGGGCUGUGACUCCAGGACCAAGAGUUUUGGGAGAGACUUUCCUUCCCUGGACAAGGAAAAGGAAGUGGAGCUACCAGCUGCUACUCUGGGAGGCUAGAGACGCAUCUCUCUACCAUGCACCCUUUCCAAAGCUCUGUUCUCUGAGGGCUUCUCGAAAUACCCACUUUAAUCAGAGUUAAGCCGGAUUUGAAGGUUGAGAUGAUUAGAUGUGUCAAAAAAAUUUUACAGUCUAAUAACACCCAAUGCUGUCAAGAAUGUGGAAAAGAAGAGACAUGUAUGCAUUGUUGAUGUGAGUGUCAAUUGGCGUCCAUUUUUGGAGGGAGUUUGCUAGUAUCAUUAGAAUGUGAAAUAGAUACACUCUCAGACUCAACAUUUCCACUCCUAAGAGUCAAUUCUAGAGAAAUAUGUGCACGUGGACACAAAGAGUCGGGCAUGAAGAUGUUUGCAGAAAUGUUGUUUGCAACUGCAAAAAACAGUAAAAUAAAAAGCCACCAAAUCAAAAAA